rnacentral:misc_RNA from 1 species
CACUCGGAGGCGGCGUGUCAAACCAAAACAAGCAAAGCAGCAGCAGUGCUUCAUCACUCGCCAAUAAAAAAAAAUUACUGUAGAUCCCUUGCAAGACUCAAAGAUGGCCGGCCUCCAAGUGCUUCAAACGUCGAACCUGGCGUUGACACAGGGGAUAGGGCCAGGCCAGGCCAGGCUUCAUUGCGGAGUCAACCAAUCGACCUUGAGAUGACUGAAAUAAACAAAGUCCAAAAAGGAGCCAAUUCCUCUUCCUCAUCAGUGGACGUCUACGCUACAUGCAUGUACCGACCGGCGACGGGCGGCGGCGAGCUACUUUUCUCUGCUGCUGGCCUCGCUCUCGCCGCAGGGAAUCGAUCGACAGACGACAGCUAGCUAGCUAGCUCG